rnacentral:misc_RNA from 1 species
GAUUGAACUCAAACUCCUCAUUGGGCAUUCAGGGAUGAAUGCUUUAUAUCAUUACAAUAGGCAGUGGAAAUACAUCCAAAGAGGACUAAGAGCAGUAUCCUAUGAAUCAAUCCCCAGAGGUCUUUAAGCUGAAAACUGGAGUUUAGGCCCCCGAUAAGGUAAUCUUCGGUUCUGCUCCAAGAGAUCAAGAACCCUUUGAAUUCACUUUCAUAGCCUUAAUUUGAAUUCAGGCAAUCGCUUUCAGUAAGAGAGUUGAAAGAAAGAAAGGAAAGCCCCCUUUCCUGGAAAGCCCCUUCAUAUUAGUUAGAGACAGAGCUAC